AGUAAAAGACACCCUAGAUUUCUAUGUCCAAUGUUUGAUCUUCCGUCUUAUAUAAAAUUUUUUUAUAAUUAGUAUUUUUAUUAUUGUUAGAUGAUAAAACAUAAUUAAUACUUUAUGUGUGACUUGUCUUUUUAAUUUUUUUCAUAAUUUUUUAAAUAAGAUGAACGGUCAAACGUUGAACAUGGAAACUUAGGGUUUGUCUUUUU
rfam:Oryza glumipatula chromosome 1, whole genome shotgun sequence.